rnacentral:lncRNA from 13 species
CUAAACCAGUCUUUGAGGGAUUGCAGUAUGACUCCAUUUCCCCGGUGCAUUCACGUAAUAGUUCACUUGGUGAAAACAAUGAAGAUUAUUUACAAUGCUACCCUGCUUUUUCUGAUGUCCUGCACCUGGAAGAUGUGCUUCUUAAGGUAAUCUCUUUACCAAAAACUGUUAAGAGGAGGAGGAGGAAAAAAGUUGGUUUUGACACAUUAAAAAGUAGCCAAACAAAACACAAAAAGAUAGCAGCAAAUGAUAAAAUCGAAACUACUUUCUACAUUAUAUGAAAACAUACUCAUAAUAAUGUAAUCUGAAGAAAUGUUUUUUUAGAUUCACUUGUAAUUACCUUAUAGUUUAUAUUAUUACUGUGAAAUAUAUCAUCUUUUUAACUACAUUUUCUAAUUAUUUAUGGUAAAUGGGAACAUGAUUGACAUUUUUGUAUAUUGAUUUUAUAUUCUGUAGCCUUCUUGAAUUCUGUUUAUUCUAAUAAUUUAUAGAUUUUCUUGGAUUAUCUGUUAAUUGUAUUUUGAAUAAUGACAGUUUCUUUCCAAUAUUUCUUUAGCUUGUAUUACUGUGCUAGCUAGGAUUUUUAGUUCAAAGAUGAACAAGAGCAUUGGUGGAGGAUUUCCUUAUUUUGUUCCGAAAUUCUACAAAAGUUUCACCUUUUUUAGUAGAUUGUCUUUUUCAAGUUAGGGAAGUUUCUUUAUAUUCCUAAUCUGAUGAGAGUUUUUAUUACAAAUAUUACAAAGUUUCUUCCCAUCUAUAUGUACUGACAUUUUCAUAUCCUUUUUCUACCAUUAAUAUCAUAGUGUGACCAUGUCAUAAAUUACAAUAAUCAAUUUUCUAAUAUAUUUCUUGCUUUUGCUUUUAUCAAGCCUCACCAUUGGAUAUUUUUUCUAUUUUAAUAAUUUUUACUUUUUAUAUUGAACAUUCUUCUUUUGUUGUUUUCUUUUUAAUUUAUUGAGUUCUUCUCAAUAAAUGUUCUUCUGUAAGGUAAGAAUUUAGAACU